rnacentral:lncRNA from 1 species
UGUGUCGCUUUUGGCAUAUAUAAUGUAAAUUAUAUAAGUCGAAUAUUAUAAUAGACACAACAAGUCUCGUUACUUACGGGUACAAUAAAUUAGAAACUGAAAGUUAUAUUGUAAUAACAUGUGUAAUAAAAGGGGUUCGGUGCAACGUAAAAUGUUUGGUAGUUAAAAAUGCAUCAACGCCUCUUCUGGGAUUAAAUGCUUGUAUACGUUUAAAUAUAAUAGAAAAGGUUUAUCAAAUAAGCAUAAACUUAUCUGAUAAGAAUACUUUUAUGAUUUUUUUGACAUCCUAUAAUUUACAUCUAUUACUAUAACAUUUAGUAAAUGAAUUGGCUUUAACAUUGUCAUGAGAAGUUAAAUCUAAUGACUUAGCCUCUAUAAAUCGUUUCUUACAACAAUUUACAUUAUAAUAGAAAAUUUACACAAUUAAAGUUACACAAAUCUAUCUGCAAGAUCCCACGGAUGAUAUCGUUUUAGUCUACGUUGAAUUUGGUUAUUUACAAGGAGUUCAGUAUCCAGCUUGGUUGGGUAGUCAUUCCGUAGACCAAGCGCAUCCUGGAUACAAGGAAAGUCUCCGAAAAAUCCAGGAGCGCUACUUCUGGGGUCAUAUGCACGUUGAAGUACUAUGAUCCCGAGCCGGACAAUUCCCACUGAUCCCGCCUGGAGAUCCGGAACCUGUAGCUCCACAACAAAGUCUUGCGGUCGCCCAUGUUGACGCAUCUGUAUCAAUUAGUGGUAUCAAAGUAGUGUAUCAAUCGAAAUUUUCACCGGCGCAACAAAAGCUUUAGAAACGAUUCACCACCUAUGAAGGCUUAUUAUCGAGACAUCAUCAAGAUGGCGAUCGGCUAGUAGUACCACGCCAUCUGGUGCCGAGAUGCGCAUCCUAGAUACAAGAAAAGUCUCCGAAAAAUCCAGAAGCGCUACUUCUGGGGUCAUAUGCACGUUGAAGUAAAACGAUAUGCAAACUAUUGUAUAAUCUGUGCCUCAGCUAAAGCCCAACAUAGACUGAAUAAGGCACCUAUGACUGCUAGAUCCCCGGAGUUUCCCUUCGAAUCGUUGGCCAUGGAUAUUUUAGGCCCUUAUCCGGCUAGUGGACCAAAUAAAUCCCAAUCCAUCCUGCAAGUAGAGGAUGUUUUCAGUAAGAGGCUAGAAGCUAAGGCCUUUACCGAAAUCCAUGGCCAAGAUGUACAUUAUGGCAAGAUACGGGACGAGGAUCAUAAUUUCCGAUAACGGGCCCCACUUUCGAAGCAACCCUUUUCCAAGAAUGUGUGAGCUCAGGAAGAUCGAAUUUUUUUAUAUAAUUAAUAUUUUUCACCAACGGGCAAAUCCAUCCGAGAGAAGAACACUGGAGCUAAAAAAAGUACUACGAGCUCUUCUAGUAGGAAGGCCCGUGAACGUGUGGGAAAAGUACUUGACACCGGCGAUAAGGGUCCUAAGAUCCCGGAAAAAUCGAGCUACACAAGAAAGGCCAGUGUCGGUUAUAUUGUGCUACGAGUUGCCUUGUCCGGGCGAAUGGAAAACGCAGUACCGAAAGCACAAAAAAAAUCUAAACCCGGACCAACGAAAAAACCGUAAUAGGGAAAUUUUCGAAAGGCAACUCAACUUUCAACAGGAAUACACCUCCCAAAAAAGACCUGCCAUUGUAUUUUGUAGGGUAAAAUUUAUUUAAGUUUAGUUAGCUGUGCGACUGGUUGCCUAAACAGUAGGUUGGCUUCACACACAAAAAAGCAUAUGACUAGGUAAGAUAGAAAGAGACGGCCGUAUGUUUGACGUUUGACAAAAGACGCCGGGUUUCCGGAACAGAGUUCGUUGUACUCGGGGAUGAUUAGUAGACGCACAGCAGGUCAAAAGCAACGUAGUAGACGAAAAGACGCGGCUUGGCUGUAAAAUUUAGAAGACGAAUACGAGUUAUAGAUGAAGCUGUUACAUAGUCUAUAUUUAGUGUUGUGGUGAUAAGCCGAAAUUCCUAAGAGUAAAUGUAACCAGUAAGUUAACAGUGUGUUAGUUCGUUCAAUCUCAUCUAUUAAACUUUUAUCAUUUAAUACAA